rfam:Gossypium raimondii Chr10_contig_877, whole genome shotgun sequence.
GAUAGCCAAAUGAAUCGAAAGGUUCAUGUUUGGUUCGAGAAGGGAUCAUGGAAUUUUUGAAAUAAAAAAAAUGAAUGGAAAGAUAAUCUACUUUCAU